rnacentral:rRNA from 1 species
UCGCUCAGAUUGAACGCUGGCGGCGUGCUUAACACAUGCAAGUCGAGCGAGAAAGUUCUCUUCGGAGAAUGAGUAGAGCGGCGCACGGGUGAGUAACGCGUGGAUAAUCUACCCUGAAGAUCGGGAUAACAGUUGGAAACGACUGCUAAUACCGGAUAUCCUGCAUAUUUAGCUUUAUGUGGUAAAGGCGGCCUCUAUUUAUAAGCUGCCGCUUUGGGAUGAGUCCGCGUCUCAUUAGCUUGUUGGUGGGGUAAUGGCCUACCAAGGCAACGAUGAGUAGCUGGUCUGAGAGGAUGAUCAGCCACACUGGGACUGAAACACGGCCCAGACUCCUACGGGAGGCAGCAGUGGGGAAUAUUGCGCAAUGGGGGAAACCCUGACGCAGCGACGCCGCGUGCGGGAAGAAGGCCUUCGGGUCGUAAACCGCUGUCAGGAGGGAAGAAACUGUUAGGGUAUAAUACGCCCUUUCACUGACGGUACCUCCAAAGGAAGCACCGGCUAACUCCGUGCCAGCAGCCGCGGUAAUACGGAGGGUGCGAGCGUUAAUCGGAAUCACUGGGCGUAAAGCGCACGUAGGCGGCGCAUCAAGUCAGGCGUGAAAGCCCUCGGCUCAACCGAGGAAUUGCGCUUGAAACUGGUGUGCUGGAGUCUCGGAGAGGUUGGCGGAAUUCCAGGUGUAGGAGUGAAAUCCGUAGAUAUCUGGAGGAACACCGGUGGCGAAGGCGGCCAACUGGACGAGUACUGACGCUGAGGUGCGAAAGCGUGGGGAGCAAACAGGAUUAGAUACCCUGGUAGUCCACGCUGUAAACGAUGGAUAUUAGGUGUCGGGGGUUACCUUCGGUGCCGCAGUUAACGCGUUAAAUUCCCGCC